rnacentral:rRNA from 1 species
GGGUUGUGAGGUUAAGCGACUAAGCGUACACGGUGGAUGCCCUGGCAGUCAGAGGCGAUGAAGGGCGUGCUAAUCUGCGAUAAGCGCCGGUAAGGUGAUAUGAACCGUUAUAACCGGCGAUACCCGAAUGGGGAAACCCAGUGUGACUCGUCACACUAUCAUUAACUGAAUCCAUAGGUUAAUGAGGCGAACCGGGGGAACUGAAACAUCUAAGUACCCCGAGGAAAAGAAAUCAACCGAGAUUCCCCCAGUAGCGGCGAGCGAACGGGGAGGAGCCCAGAGCCUGAAUCAGCAUGUGUGUUAGUGGAAGCGUCUGGAAAGGCGCGCGAUACAGGGUGACAGCCCCGUACACAAAAGCGCAUGUGCUGUGAGCUCGAUGAGUAGGGCGGGACACGUGGUAUCCUGUCUGAAUAUGGGGGGACCAUCCUCCAAGGCUAAAUACUCCUGACUGACCGAUAGUGAACCAGUACCGUGAGGGAAAGGCGAAAAGAACCCCGGCGAGGGGAGUGAAAAAGAACCUGAAACCGUGUACGUACAAGCAGUGGGAGCACCCUUUUGGGUGUGACUGCGUACCUUUUGUAUAAUGGGUCAGCGACUUAUAUUCUGUAGCAAGGUUAACCGAAUAGGGGAGCCGGAGGGAAACCGAGUCUUAACCGGGCGUUAAGUUGCAGGGUAUAGACCCGAAACCCGGUGAUCUAGCCAUGGGCAGGUUGAAGGUUGGGUAACACUAACUGGAGGACCGAACCGACUAAUGUUGAAAAAUUAGCGGAUGACCUGUGGCU